rnacentral:tRNA from 1 species
ACCUGGCUGGCUUAGUUGGUAGAGCAUGUGAUUCUUGAUCAUGGAGUCAUGGGUUCAAGCUCCACGUUGGGCA